UGAGCUCUCCCACUCUGACUGCUGCUCUCCAUCACAGGGACGAAUAAAUCUCAGUGACCUGAGCGACUGAACUGCAGCUCUGUGAGUUACAGCUUCUGCUCUGCUCGUCUCUGCGUACAGCCCGGUUCCACUUCAGUCCGGGUCAGAGGUCACGUGUGAUCGUUUCCUGCCUUCAAAACAACUGUCAGAACAGCGUGACGCUCUUUACUUUGACCGCUGUCACACUGCAGGUUUCCAAAGUAUCAGUCUCUGAGGUGAAAUGAGUUUAUGACUGCAGAUCAUUAUGUCGCUUGUUCCCCGAGGAGCAGCGUUUCUCUCGCCGGUGGGCCGUGUGGGGGAGCUGCGCCCGGGGGCCCUCCUCCACUGUGGGGCUGGUGAUGGAGAAGGUGGAGGCUGUGGAGCACAAGAGGAGGAGGAGGAUUCAGUCGAGCCACUCGAGCUGCUUCAGAGAGACGUCCUCCAAAACAUCUGGAGCAUCGUCCUCGUCUCCUAACUGUGCAGCAGCGUCGCGGUCAGAACAGGAGGCGGAUCGAUACGUUAUUUCCACGGUUGACAGCGAUAUUCAGUAAAAUGUAAAUGCUGUUAAUGUCUCAACAACUGUCCGCUGAAUCCUUGAGAAGCUUUCAAUAAACAAAAGAUAGAAACACA